rnacentral:misc_RNA from 1 species
CUGAAUUCAAUGGGAUGUUGCUGGCUUUGGCAUGUGCACUCCCGCUUUUAUAUCCACCUGUGCACUUGGUGUAGACUUGGAUUGAUUUCUGAGUCUAUGUUUUUCAUAUACACUUUUGAAGUCUUUAUGAAUGUGUAUUAGGCUUUGGCCAAAAUUUAAUA